UUACAGAAACUUCUGGAAGAGCAUGACAUUGUGAAUGGAUUAAUGGAAUUCAUUUACCAAAAAAUUUAAAUAUUGCAUGAAUAUACUGCCUCACACUACAUAAUUAAAAACUAAUCCUUAUUUCAAGAUGAAUAACCUUUGGUCUAUAAAAGUAAAGG